CUCAAAGUUGGAACCUGUUUGGCCUAGCUAAACAGGAUUGUAAACUGUAGAAGUGUUUUCCAGGCAAUCCGAGUUAAUAAGUCCUUUGGAACAGGGCAUCAUAGAGGGUGAGAAUCCCGUCUUUGAUUCGAGAAACUUUGCCUUUUGCGAUACACUUUCAAAGAGUCAGGUUGUUUGGGAAUGCAGCCUAAAUUGGGUGGUAAAUCUCACCUAAAGCUAAAUAUUGGCGAGAAACCGAUAGCGAACAAGUACCGUGAGGGAAAGAUGAAAAGAACUUUGAAAAGAGAGUUAAACAGUAUGUGAAAUUGUUAAAAGGGAACCGUUUGGAGCCAGACUGGCUUGUCUGUAAUCAAUCUAGGCUUUGGCCUGGAUGCACUUGCAGAUUAUGCCUGCCAACGACAAUUUGAUUUGAGGGAAAAAACUAGAGGAAAUGUGGCCAAUAUUUUUUUGUUGGUGUUAUAGUCCUUUAGAAAAUACCUUGGAUUGGAUUGAGGAACGCAGCGAAUGCUCUCUUUUUGGGGAGGGCGAGUCUUUGAUAAGUCUUUACGGAUAUGACUGGAGUUAAAAAGACCAGAAGUUGAAGUUUAAACUUGUUUU
rnacentral:rRNA from 1 species